UGGCCAGAUACCCAGAUAGUCGGAUACCGGCUGGGAGCCGUGGUAAAUGUGGCAGACACUCGGGCGGGCUGGCUCUAAACUGUAUUAUAUAUCUAUGGCCAUAAAGCCCACGAGAGCUGAUUUCGACUGGCAUAUACACAGGGAAAAAAAUGAUCAUAUUUUGGUACAGUCGAUAGGUAUCAAUAAAACCAUCAUUUUAAGGAAAUUAAACGAGUUCACAUUUCCCUAACUAAUUUGCGUCGCAUAAAUAAAAAUGAAAAUUUUUACGGAACUAAUUUGUACGAUCUAUAAAAAGCAAGGACCAGAACCAGAAGAAUACACUUUAAGAGGAAGUCUUCAGAUCCUAUCACUAUGAGCUUGGCAAGCUUUAUUAAAAUUUGUGCUAUCGCUUUUAUUGCGAGAAAACAACCACAAUGCCCAGAAUGCAUGGUGACUGUUACUUCAUAUUAGAGUAUUGGAAUAUUUCUAGGCUGCAUUUUCAAGCCACAUAUCUGUUCUCGAGUAUAACUUAUGCUUAAGUUGGGUAUGAUCUACACGUUUUGUAAGGCCUUGUAAACAAUUAAAAAUAUGUAGUAUUCCAAAA